rnacentral:rRNA from 1 species
AGAAUCAACGCUGGCGGCGUGCCUAACACAUGCAAGUCGCACGAGAAAGGGACUUCGGUCCUGAGUAAAGUGGCGCACGGGUGAGUAACACGUGAAUCAUCUACCUCCGAAUGGGGAAUAACUGAGAGAAAUCUUAGCUAAUACCGCAUAAUACCUACGGGUCAAAGCAGCAAUGCGUUUGGAGAGGAGUUCGCGGUCGAUUAGUUAGUUGGCGGGGUAAUGGCCCACCAAGACGAUGAUCGAUAUCCGGCCUGAGAGGGCGCACGGACACACUGGAACUGAAACACGGUCCAGACUCCUACGGGAGGCAGCAGUGGGGAAUUUUGCGCAAUGGGGGAAACCCUGACGCAGCAACGCCGCGUGGAGGAUGAAAUAUCUUGGUAUGUAAACUCCUUUCGAUGGGAAGAUAAUGACGGUACCAUAGAAGACGCCCGGCUAACUUCGUGCCAGCAGCCGC